rnacentral:ncRNA from 2 species
AUAUUUGCAAAAAAUUUUGGUUUCCAAUAGAUUGGAACUAAGAGGGAAUUGGGUGAAACUCCCAAGCUGUCCCCGCAACUGUAAAUCGCAUUCAAAAAUUGUUACAAAAACCACUGCCAAAACGGGAAGGUGUGGCAAAGCGAAAGUCAGGAGACCUGCCGGAAUUUUAAUAUUAAU